ACCUACGGCCAUACCACCCUGAAUGCGCUUGAUCUUGUCUGGUCUUGGAAGCUAAGCAGGUCGAGGCCUGGUUAGUACUUGAAUGGGAGACCACCUGGGAAUACUGGGUGCUGUAGGCU
rnacentral:rRNA from 1 species